GUGAAUCAUCGAAUUUUUGAACGCAAAUUGCACUCUCUUCGGAGAGUAUGCCUGUUUGAGGGUCAGUAUUAAUAAAAAUCGGUGUGUUGUGUCUUUGUGACGCUCCGGAGUUUGGGUCAUCUUAAUAUAUCCUUUAGGUGUUAAGAGGCUUAAAAUUGACUUUGUUUUGCGCAUUUUAUUAGAGGUCCAUAACUUUUUUUUUUAUUCGUCUAUUCUUAAUCCCAAAAUCUUAUUAGAUGCGAUCACAUCGUGUGGCUUCGUUUCCAUAAAUUAUUAAGUAUUUGACCUCAAAUCAGGUAGG
rnacentral:misc_RNA from 1 species